UCAAAAACACAUUGCAACAUAACAUGUGAUAGCUAGUUCUAGACUGUAUCUGAAAUUGCCCCCCAUGUCCUUAAAUAGCGCACUAUUUGAGAGAGCAGCUAUUUGUGGUAGUGUCCGAAAACCAUAGUGGAUGUUCUGAAGUGCACUCAAUCCCACAAUAGCAAGUGUAUAAUCAAUGUACACUCAAUGCUACGGCUAAAGAGUAACGCAGCUGCAUGUCGAAUUUUCGUGUCUGACCACAAGAUGGCAUCCACAGCAGAACGUUUCUGAAUGAAUUAAUGUUUGUAUACAUGCCAGAAAUCAAAAAUACUUGCUGGCUACAUGUUAAACAACAAUUACAGGAUCUGAAUACAUUGAAAAUCUAAUCUGUCUGAGGCAUUCAUCAACUAGCGUUGCUCAAACAAAACACAAUCCCCACUAUCUCAUUUUCAUUGACUUUAUUAAGUGGAUUGUAUUACCCAACAAACACACAACGUUGCCUCAACGUAGCGACCUUCCUACAACGUUGUACCAACCUUGCAAAAAGGUUGAGGAUUCUACGUUGUUGCUAAACGUUGUCACAACGAUGUCAUAAGGUUGCCAUUUAAACAUCACGAGGGCCGCAUACUUUAGGUUGUGCUUAGGUGGCGUGGACAACCACUGUACAACAUUUACUGGUCACAGCUGAAUCAGUUUAAAUUUCAACAAGCCGUCGUCUCAUUCAUCAACGACCGAGGAGACGCUAUUUUCACAUGGAGAAUGUUUUCAGCUGUUGAAUUCACCUCAGAUCAGUGUUGCUGUAAUUCCCGAUCUAUGGAAAGAAUAAUUGGAUGAGCGAGCAACGCCACAACUACAGGGCCUCUUCUUUCUCUUCUCAUAAUUUAACUGCGCUCCCUGGUCUGCUGUAUUCUCCAGUCCAGAGCUUCACUGCCCAGUGUCUGAAUUUAAAUUUAUAUAUUUAUAUAUAUA